rnacentral:snoRNA from 1 species
GGCACCCUGGUGCUUACCAAGGCUGUGUUUUCACACUGAUUGUACCGAAAGAGGCGGAGUAAACCUACCCCAUAUACACCCCAACCUGGGUCCUUUGCCUGG